rnacentral:rRNA from 1 species
GUUGAACGCUGGCGGCAGGCUUAACACAUGCAAGUCGAACGAGCGGCGGACGGGUGAGUAAUGUGUGAGAAACUGCCUGAUGGAGGGGGAUAACUACUGGAAACGGUCUCUAAUACCCCCUACCAUCAUAUGUACCCAUCUGUGAUUAGCUAGUAGGUGGGGUAAUGGCUCACCUAGGCGACGAUCCCUAGCUGGUCUGAGAGGAUGACCAGCCACACUGGAACUGAGACACGGUCCAGACUCCUACGGGAGGCAGCAGUGGGGAAUAUUGCACAAUGGGCGCAAGCCUGAUGGAGCCACGCCGCGUGUGUGAAGAAGGCAUUCGGGUUGUAAAGCACUUUCAGCGAGGAGGCGUUAUUCGCAGAAGAAGCACCGGCUAACUCCGUGCCAGCAGCCGCGGUAAUUC